rnacentral:rRNA from 1 species
AGUUUGAUCCUGGCUCAGAACGAACGUUGGCGGCGUGGAUUAGGCAUGCAAGUCGAGGGAAUCCCAGCAAUGGGGGAACCGGCGUAAGGGGCAGUAAGGCGUGGGUACCUACCCUGAGGUUCGGGAUAGCCGUCAGAGAUGGCGGGUAAUACCGGAUGAUCUCGGGAGAGCAAAGAUUGAUCGCCUCGGGAGGGGCCCACGUGAUAUUAGCUAGUUGGUGAGGUAACGGCUCACCAAGGCGAAGAUGUCUAGCGGGUGUGAGAGCACGACCCGCGCCACUGGCACUGAGACACUGGCCAGACACCUACGGGUGGCUGCAGUCGAGGAUCUUCGGCAAUGAGCGAAAGCUUGACCGAGCGACGCCGCGUGGGCGAUGAAGGCCUUCGGGUUGUAAAGCCCUGUCGAGGGGGAGAAAAGCCGCAAGGUGUGAUCUAUCCCUGGAGGAAGCUCGGGCUAAGUUCGUGCCAGCAGCCGCGGUAAGACGAACCGAGCGAACGUUGUUCGGAAUCACUGGGCUUAAAGGGCGCGUAGGCGGGCUGCCGCGUCCGGGGUGAAAUGCCACGGCUCAACCGUGGAAGGGCCUCGGAUACGGGCGGUCUCGAGGGGGGUAGGGGCAUCGGGAACUGUGAGUGGAGCGGUGAAAUGCGUUGAUAUUCACAGGAACUCCGGUGGCGAANGCGCGGUGCUGGACCCCAUCUGACGCUGAGGCGCGAAAGCCAGGGGAGCAAACGGGAUUAGAUACCCCGGUAGUCCUGGCCCUAAACGAUGGGUACUAGGUAGUAGGCCAGACAUGGGUUUACUGCCGGAGCUAAAGUGCUAAGUACCCCGCCUGGGGAGUAUGGUCGCAAGGCUGAAACUCAA